GAGUUUGAUCCUGGCUCAGGACGAACGCUGGCGGCGUGCCUAACACAUGCAAGUCGAACGAAGCUUGAAUUCAGAUUUCUUCGGAAUGAAGAAUGAUAUGACUGAGUGGCGGACGGGUGAGUAACGCGUGAGCAACCUGCCCUUCGGAGGGGGAUAGUGUCUGGAAACGGACAGUAAUACCGCAUAACGUAUUUUUACCGCAUGAUAGAAAUACCAAAACUGAGGUGCCGAAGGAUGGGCUCGCGUUGGAUUAGAUAGUUGGCGGGGUAACGGCCUACCAAGUCAACGAUCCAUAGCCGGACUGAGAGGUUGAACGGCCACAUUGGGACUGAGACACGGCCCAGACUCCUACGGGAGGCAGCAGUGGGGAAUAUUGCACAAUGGGGGAAACCCUGAUGCAGCAACGCCGCGUGAAGGAAGACGGUUUUCGGAUUGUAAACUUCUGUUCUUAGUGAAGAAAAAUGACGGUAGCUAAGGAGCAAGCCACGGCUAA
rnacentral:rRNA from 1 species